rnacentral:rRNA from 1 species
GAUGAACGCUGGCGGCGUGCCUAAUACAUGCAAGUCGAGCGAAGCGGGGACGGGUGAGUAACACGUGGAUAACCUCCUAUAAGACUGGGACAACUUCGGGAAUCCGGAGCUAAACCUGUUACUUAUAGAUGGAUUCGCGCUGCAUUAGCUAGUUGUUAUGGUAACGGCUUACAAAGGCAACGAGUCAUAUCCGACCUGAGAGGGUAAUCAGCCACACUGGAACUGAGAGACGGUCCAGAUUCCUACGGGAGGCAGCAGUAGGGAAUCUUCCGCAAUGGGCGAAAGCCUGACGGAGCAACGCCGCGUGAGUGAUGAAGGUCUUCGGAUCGUAAAACUCUGUUAUUAGGGAAGCGGUACCUAACCAGAAAGCCACGGCUAGCUACGUGCCAGCAGCCGCGGUAAUAC